CAGCCGCCGCGGUAAUACGGAGGGUGCAAGCGUUAAUCGGAAUUACUGGGCGUAAAGCGUGCGCAGGCGGUUUGUUAAGACAGAUGUGAAAUCCCCGGGCUCAACCUGGGAACUGCAUUUGUGACUGGCAAGCUAGAGUGUGGCAGAGGGGGGUGGAAUUCCGCGUGUAGCAGUGAAAUGCGUAGAUAUGCGGAGGAACACCGAUGGCGAAGGCAGCCCCCUGGGCCAACACUGACGCUCAUGCACGAAAGCGUGGGGAGCAACCAGGAUUAGAUACCCCUGUAGUCCCUGUCUCUUAUAC
rnacentral:rRNA from 1 species